rnacentral:rRNA from 1 species
UACGUAGGGGGCGAGCGUUGUCCGGAAUUAUUGGGCGUAAAGCGCGUGCAGGCGGUUUUUUAAGUUCGUGGUGAAAGACCGGGGCUCAACCCCGGAGCGUCCGCGAAGACUGGAAGACUGGAGUGUCGGAGAGGAGUGCGGAAUACCAGGUGUAGCGGUGGAAUGCGUAGAGAUCUGGUGGAACACCGAUGGCGAAGGCAGCACUCUGGCCGAAGACUGACGCUGAGACGCGAAAGCGUGGGGAGCGAACGGG